CAAGAGACGACGAUGGCGGAGACGACUCACAACUGGACAACUGAGGAAACCCGGGCCCUCAUUGCCUGGCGGGCAGCCAACGAGAGCCUCUUCACUGGCAGGAGGAAUUCCUCCAAAAAUGGAUGGGAUGACUUUGUUACCACUUCUGGCCUGGCAAUAACAGCCAAACAGGCCAA